UCCAGACUCCUACGGGAGGCAGCAGUGAGGAAUAUUGGUCAAUGGGCGGGAGCCUGAACCAGCCAAGUCGCGUGAGGGAAGAAGGUACUGAGUAUUGUAAACCUCUUUUGCCAGGGGACAAGGGCGGCCACGGGUGGCCGUAAGAGGGUACCUGGAGAAAAAGCAUCGGCUAACUCCGCGCCAGCAGCCGCGGUAAUACGGAAGGUCCGGGCGUUAUCCGGAUUUAUUGGGUUUAAAGGGAGCGUAGGCCGGUCUUUAAGCGUGCCGUGAAAUUUUGUGGCUCAACCAUGAGAGUGCGGCGCGAACUGGAGACCUUGAGUGCGCGGAAGGCAGGCGGAAUUCGUGGUGUAGCGGUGAAAUGCUUAGAUAUCACGAAGAACCCCGAUUGCGAAGGCAGCCUGCCGCAGCGUUACUGACGCUGAAGCUCGAAAGCGCGGGUAUCGAACAGGAUUAGAUACCCGGGUAA
rnacentral:rRNA from 1 species